UACAGAGGUCUCGAGCGUUGUUCGGAUUCAUUGGGCGUAAAGCGCGCGCAGGUGGUUUCUUAAGUCUGAUGUGAAAGCCCACGGCUCAACCGUGGAGGGUCAUUGGAAACUGGGGAACUUGAGUGCAGGAGAGAAGAGUGGAAUUCCACGUGUAGCGGUGAAAUGCGUAGAGAUGUGGAGGAACACCAGUGGCGAAGGCGACUCUUUGGCCUGUAACUGACACUGAGGCGCGAAAGCGUGGGGAGCAAACAGG
rnacentral:rRNA from 1 species